rnacentral:rRNA from 1 species
CAGUCGUACCUUCGGGUAAUCAGCCUUUCGGGUGCGAUUCUGUGGAGUGUGAGGAGCUUAAACACCUUCAUGUUUUGCAUAUUCGUACUCUUGGGUGUACUUGCCCGUAUGGUUGGUUAACAUCAAUUUUGGUGGUCAUAAAAUGACUGGAGGAAUGUAGCUUCGAUCUUGUAUUGAAGUGUUAUAGCCUUCGGUAGAUGUGAUGAUCGAGAUUGAGGAUUGCAACGGAUACCCUUCGGGGCUACCUGUCUGGUCUCUGAUCGUUGCUCUGGUGCCGAAAGCUUGCUUACGGUUAUCAAAGUCGAUGGUCAAUAGGUUAGAACGGGUUAAA